UAUACAUAUUAACCUUUAAAAAAAUCGGCGGCGGGCUUCUGUCAAAGAUAAUUUUUGACUAGUUAGCUUAAAAUUUGUGAAAGUUAACAAGUAAAAAGCCACACAUGCUAGCAAGCUAAAGCUAAGGUUAGCCUAUUUGACGUAACACGUGCUAAAGCUAAUGUUAGCCUAUUUGACGUAGCACAUGCUAAAGCUAAGGUUAGCUUAUUUGACGUUUUUUUCGAUGAAUAAAACUCUUAAUAUUGUUUUUAUUGUAUUCUUAAACGAUGCAGGUGUAUCUAAUGGAACCUCUGCUGAAGAAAAAAGCCUUUCAAGGGGGCGGCACGGCACGGCGGUCUAGUAGUGGUUAGCGCGCAGACCUCACAGCUAGGAGACCAGGGUUCAAUUCCACCCUCGGCCAUCUCUGUGUGGAGUUUGCAUGUUUCCUCCCACAUUCCAAAAACAUGCUAGGACCACCAGAAGCUGACAGAGAAGCUUUGAUCCAGAGAUCGCACGUAAUGCCAAUGCUGGACCGGGAUGAAGAGCACGUCUCCGGGAUGCAGCACACAUUCCAGGUUACCUGUGCCAGGAAGUUCUGCUGAGGGUCCUGAUGGAGGGGAGACACGGUGCCCGCAGGCCCGAACCACGCAUUCACCGUCACGUCAUCUUCGUCUCCAUCACCCAGGCAGCAGUAAUCAGGGAGACGGAUGUCGUCCUUCAACUCCGAACUUGGACCAGAAGUUGCAGUCUAUCGUCCAUGAUGGCCGCACCCAUGAGGAGACCCAUGUCACAGGUACGGAUAGCCUGCAGGAGGUCCUCCUCUGUGGGCUCCUCUCGACACAGGCCGCACACCUUGAAGAGGCAGCCGUAAGAGUACACCCGUCUCCACUCCUUGUCCACGUGACGCCAAGUUCCCGUGUUGAGCUUCUCCCAGGAGAUGUCCAGGAUGAUCUGAGCAUUGAGCAGGCGACUGGUGGAGCUGGUGUCGGCGUAGAGCUGCUGCCUGGACCGCCUCAGCAUGUCCACAACGCUGGCCUCCACUUUGUCAUUAAAGUGCAGCAGGAAGUGGUCCUCGUCGGCCGGAAGUAGAGCAGAGAUCUUUGACCAGAGGACUGCCAUGGAGAGUGGUCCCGGGUGGGGGGCUUUAUCUUCUCUGCUGGGUUGAGAAGGGUUGAGGGUGCCAGGCCACACCAAUUAAGGGUUGUCGCAUCGCGGCCGCCAGUCGAGGCGCGUUAUGCAAUCGGAGGGGUCGCGUACAACAAAUUUGACCUGACUGCGCCCGGGGAACACGGUGCACUGGAACGUCACAAUUUAUGUAUGAAG